GACGAACGCUGGCGGCGUGCUUAACACAUGCAAGUCGAACGGAAAGGCCCUGCUUUUGUGGGGUGCUCGAGUGGCGAACGGGUGAGUAACACGUGAGUAACCUGCCCUUGACUUUGGGAUAACUUCAGGAAACUGGGGCUAAUACCGGAUAGGAGCUCCUGCUGCAUGGUGGGGGUUGGAAAGUUUCGGCGGUUGGGGAUGGACUCGCGGCUUAUCAGCUUGUUGGUGGGGUAGUGGCUUACCAAGGCUUUGACGGGUAGCCGGCCUGAGAGGGUGACCGGCCACAGGCGAGGUGGGUGUGGGCCCGGGACGCACGGGGGGGAGUGGAGGGAGAGAGUGCUACAGGGGGCGUGAUCCGCCGGCAGCGCCGGCGGGUGGGGGGGGUCGGCGUUGGGGGUGUAAUGCGCUGUCGCCGGGGACGAGUCGGGAGUGGAGGAAAGGAGCAACGGCGCACCGGCCAAUAGCUCGCCAGCGGCAGCGUGUAUCCUCGGAAGAGCCUACGUCCGAGC
rnacentral:rRNA from 1 species